AAGGAUUCUUCGUGCAGAUAUAUCCAAGGACAUAGAACAUCUUGUGGAUGUGAUCUCAUCUUGGAUGGCUUCAAAUAGAAGUACGAAACUUCUUAGGCCAUGAUGGGGUUAAUAUCACCAAGUGAUGGUAUACAGAAAAGUUACUAAGACUACAGCGACUAGUAUACGAAGACAGAAUUGCUAUGCAUACACUUUUCUAUGUAUAUUAUUUUGUGUCAUAUCAAUGAACUCUUAAUUGCACAAGCGAAACAAAUUAAACUCCAGCAGUUUGGAGUUAUUGUGGCACAUCUUUCUUCUUGGUUAUGCAAUGAUCCCUUUCUCUCUAACCUGGAAAUAGUCUGAAUUGGACGAAGUAGAAGUAUUCCAUAAAGUUUAGUACUAAAGUAAAGAUGAAAAUAAUUUGAAUAUAGUCAUAGAUCUUGAAUGGAUAAUUUGAAGAGAAUAACAAAAUUAUUAAAUGAUGCCCUGUAUUAAAAUAAACUGAUUAUACUCAUAAAUCUUAAGUGGAUGAUUUCAAUGGAAGCAAAAGUGUUUUAUGAAGCCUAAUAAAAAAAAUAACUUGAAAAUUGAUUGGUUAUAGUAAUAGUACUAUAUGAAGCAUAGUAUGUAAGGGUGGGCAAAUAAAUUGAUCCAAUCCAAUCUGACCCGAUCCAAAUUUUUUAGGUUCGAAUCCGAUACAGAUUGGGGGCCAAACUUGAUCGGAUUGGUUUUUUUAAAUCCGAUCAUAUUGUAUUCGGAACGGGUCAAUCCGAUAAUUUGAUCGGAUUGCAAAAAAAAAAAAAAAAACAAAGAAACAUAAAACCUAAUUUCCCAACACCCAUACACGCAGAAACACAAGCGUAGGCCGCCACCAGCCCACCACUGUCCAAAACUCCAAUUCCAAAAGACCAGCAUCACCGGCACUAGUCACCACCACCAAGCCGCAACUAUCCACCGUAAAAUCAAACCAGCAAAUUGUACCAUCACUGUCCACUAUACCAAGCCGUAAGCCUCUAUUCUGAUUGCACCAACCACCACUUAGCACAACAAUCUGUGGUCGCGCCAAGCUGCCAAGGCCACCAGGUGAUGCCAGUAAUAUUGAGUUCUGGAAGUUAGUCAAAUUUUUUGAGGUUGGGAUUGUUUUGUUGACAUGAGGGAUGCUGUGAAUUCGUUUGAUAUUGGCGAAAGUUAUGAGAAGUUGAAUAAUUGUGAUUUUUGUUAUUCUUUUAAUUUGUUGAAACGAUUGUUCGAUAUUCUGUGGAAUCAAAAUUUUGUAACCCCUAAAUUCAGUCUUUUUCGAAUUAAUGUGAAUUUAGACCAUUUCUUUAUUCUAAUAUUCUCAAGAAACAAUAGAAUAUAAAAUAUUAAACUUCCACUACAUUAAUUUGGUAUCAGAGUCGAAAACCUACUUGAAAUUAUUGUAGACACUCCACCAUCAACUUCCCCCAACUCUUAUCUCACCAAACCUAAACACUGCCACUUUGUUUUCCUUUUCUUUAAUUUUCUUUUUUUUUUGGUUUACUUUAGUGAAAAAAAAAGAAAAUAAUAUAUUCCCAAAUUAGAUAAGCUAACCACCACAAUUGCCUCUGUUCAUAACCACCUUGUAGCCAAUCUAGUAAAUUUGCUAUCAAUCAAGAUCACUAACCAGGUUAGAGAAAGCCAGUCACCAAAUCGCAAGCAAAAUCACCAUCGGUCACCACAAAAUUGCUGAAAAAUAACAAUAGAAGCCGCGAUGCUGCCAUUUGUUGAUUUCCAUUGUGCAUUGUCUAGCAUCACCACCAAGAUCAACUUUCCUUCACCAACAUAGUCUUUUUGACAAAUUUUCACUGCUAACGACACAUUGAUUACUGAAAUUAAGCCCAACACUUGCCAGUACUUGGUUUUAAUUUUGUGGUUAGAUCAUUGCAAAUUAGACCAAAAUGUUCCCACCACUGUGCUCCUCACUACAAUAGCAGCCAAAUCAGACCUUAAACAAUUAGAUUCAUAGUCAUGGGCUU
rnacentral:lncRNA from 1 species